CCUACGGGGAGCAGCAGUGAGGAAUAUUGGUCAAUGGCCGCAACUCUGAACCAGCCAAGCCGCGUGAAGGACGACGGUCCUAUGCGUUGUAAACUUCUCUUAUCAGGGGACAAAAUUAGUCACGUGUGCCUUACCGCAGGUACUUCAUGAAAAAGCACCGGCUAAUUCCGUGCCAGCAGCCGCGGUAAUACGGAGGAUCCGGGCGUUAUCCGGAUUUCUUGGGUGUAAAGGGAGCGCAGGCGGCCCCGUAAGCGUGUUGUGAAAUGCCGCGGCCCAACCGUGGGACUGCAGUGCGAACUGGGGGGCUGGAGUGCGGCGGAGGUAGGCGGAAUUCGUGGUGUAGCGGUGAAAUGCGUAGAUAUUAGGAGGAACACCGAUUGCGAAGGCAGCCUACCGGAGGGUGACUGACGCUGAGGCUCGAAGGCGCGGGUAGCGAACAGGAUUAGAUACCCGAGUAGUC
rnacentral:rRNA from 1 species